rnacentral:rRNA from 1 species
AGUCAUAUGCUUGUCUCAAAGACUAAGCCAUGCACGUCUAAGUGCAAACCACCUAAUGGUUAAACCGCAAACGGCUCAUUAGAACAGUUAUCGUUCGCAAGAAACGAUAUCCACGUGGAUAACUGUGGAAAUGCUAGAGCUAAUACAUGCGUUGACGCUUUGCUUUUGCAAAGCACAUUUAUUCGGAGACACAAAGGACACGGCGGGAAAGGUGUUUAUUCCUUGUCGUCGUUGUCCGAAAUCAUACGAUCAGGGAUAACUAUGACGAUCGUACGGUCUUAGAACCGAUGACGAAUCUUUGAAAUGACUUGCUCAUCAACUGUCGAUGGUAGGCUUUAUGCUUACCAUGGUGACAACGGUUAACGGAGAAUCAGGGUUCGACUCCGGAGAAGGAGCCUGAAAGACGGCUACUACUUCCAAGGAAGGCAGCAGGCACGCAAAUUACCCACUCCCAGAAUUGGGGAGGUAGUGACGAUAAAUAACGGAACGUAUCUCGAUGAGACGCGUUACCGGAACGAUCCAGACAUAUAUAAGCUGGGCAAAAGCUAUUGGAGGGCAAGUCUGGUGCCAGCAGCCGCGGUAAUUCCAGCUCCAAUAGCGUAUAUUAAACUUGCUGCGGUUGAACCGCUCGUAGUUGGAUUGCGAUAUUGGGCCACGGUCCAGUCUCCUUGCACGGAGUUGGUUUUUGGCUUUGCCACCGUGUGCCAUCAGAAUCGGUUGAUUGCCAUGAUUGUUCGCGAUUCUCUUUGUUGAGUGUCACGGACGACAUGGACGUUUACUUUGAGAAAAUAAGAGCGCUCAAAGCGGGCUGCUCAAGAAAGCUCGAACGAAAUUCCUUGGGAUAGUGAAAGAUGAUCUCGCUGGUAUGAAUAAAACCACGAGGUAAUGAUUAAAAGAGACAGACGGUGGCAUUCGUACUGCUACGUUAGAGGUGAAAUUCUUGGAUCGUAGCAAGACGAACAAUUGCGAAGGCAUUUGCCAAGAAUGUUUUCAUUAAUCAAGAACGAAAGUUGCAGGAUCGAAGGCGAUCAGAUACCGCCCUAGUCGCGACUUUAAACGAUGCCAACUGGCAAUUCGGCGAUGUCUACUUUUAUUGACGACUCGCUGAGCAGCCCCCGGGAAACCAAAGUUUUUCGGUUCCGGGGGAAGUAUGGUUGCAAAGCUGAAACUUAAAGGAAUUGACGGAAGGGCACCACCAGGAGUGGAGCAUGCGGCUUAAUUUGACUCAACACGGGAAAGCUCACCCGCCCAGAACACUGUCAGGAUUGACAGAUUGAGAGCUCUUUCUUGAUUCAGUGGGUAGUGGUGCAUGGCCGUUCUUAGUUGGUGGAGCGAUUUGUCAGGCCAAUCCCGAUAACGAACGAGACUCUGCCCUACUAAAUAGUGACGGCGUUUUUGCUACGUCGACUUGUCACUUCUUAGAGGGACCAGCGGCGGUACAAAGCCGCACGAGAAAGAGCAAUAACAGGUCUGUAAUGCCCUUAGAUGGGCGGGGCUGCACGCGUGCUACACUGGUGGCGCCAACGAGCGUUCAAACUUGGCUUGACAAAGUCAAGAGAUCAAUUGAAAUGUCUGUCGUGACUGGGAUAGGGAAUUGCAAUUAUUUCCCUUGAACGAGGAAUUCCCAGUAGGCGUAAGUCAUCAGCUUGCGUUGACUACGUCCCUGCCCUUUGUACACACCGCCCGUCGCUACUACCGAUUGGAUGAUUUAGUGAGGACUUUGGAUCGACGCUGCGUGCUUGACUGUGUUUAUCAGGCAGGCUGUAGUGUUGAGAAAUUGGCCGAACCAAUUCAUCUAGAGGAAGUAAAAGUCGUAACAAGGUUUCCGUAG